GGUGGCUCAGUGGUAGAGCACUUGCCUAGCAUGUGUGAGGUACUGGGUUCGAUUCUCAGCACCA
rnacentral:tRNA from 1 species